rnacentral:rRNA from 1 species
UACGUAGGGUGCAAGCGUUAAUCGGAAUUACUGGGCGUAAAGCGUGCGCAGGCGGUUCUAUAAGACAGAUGGGAAAUCCCCGGGCUCAACCUGGGAACUGCAUUUGUGACUGUAGAGCUGGAGUACGGUAGAGGGGGAUGGAAUUCCGCGUGUAGCAGUGAAAUGCGUAGAUAUGCGGAGGAGCACCGAUGGCGAAGGCAAUCCCCUGGACCUGUACUGACGCUCAUGCACGAAAGCGUGGGGAGCAAACAGG